UUGACAUUAUUCUUGAUGUGGCUUAACGUCAGGAGUGAGGGUAAGGGAGGAUUUCUCCUCCCCCUGGUGUCUUAGUAAGCUGGGAGGCUAAUCACUAAGAGUAUCACCAGUAUGAUGACUAACUUCAUCAUAACCCUUUCCUUAUU
rnacentral:sRNA from 3 species